GUAGAAAACCAAAACUGGAUUGUCUGUUACGUUCUAAAAGUAGCUUGGGACACCACCAGCAUGCUGAUUGAGUACCAAGCCUCCUGUGCUGAACCAUAUUUGGUAAUCAAAACCCUACAUGUUAUCAUCUGCAUUUACAUGGAGGAGCAACAUGCGAGAAGAUUUAUUAACAUGAAAUCUAAGAAGUGACCUAAGAUAUGGAACAACAGUGACAUAGAUUUUGCUCACCGAUAAGAGCCUGGGAAUCUUCACACCUGCCUCUGGCCUUAGGAGACAAUUCUGCAGGCAAUUACAUGAAGAAGCACCAAAGAGGAAGCCAUUCGUUCAAGCAAGAGUGCCAAAUCUCAACUCUGUACAGUUGGUCUGACAUCAAAUGAAGAGCCAUUUGAGGAAAGCAAAUAACUAAAUGAAGUGAAUGUCUACUAGUAUGUAUCGACUGUUGACUGUAACAAAUGUGCAAAUCACCUUUACAAAGCAUUUGUCAGUUGUGACAGAGAAACAAGAAAUGGCAACAAAUAUGGAAAGAAGCCAGGUGAACUGUCCAAGAAUAUCUUAAUAAAAAUUAUAUAAAAUCAA